rnacentral:rRNA from 1 species
CCUACGGGUUGCACCAGUGGGGAAUAUUGCACAAUGGGCGCAAGCCUGAUGCAGCCAUGCCGCGUGUGUGAAGAAGGCCUUCGGGUUGUAAAGCACUUUCAGCGGGGAGGAAGGCAUUAAGGUUAAUAACCUUAGUGAUUGACGUUACCCGCAGAAGAAGCACCGGCUAACUCCGUGCCAGCAGCCGCGGUAAUACGGAGGGUGCAAGCGUUAAUCGGAAUUACUGGGCGUAAAGCGCACGCAGGCGGUCUGUCAAGUCGGAUGCGAAAUCCCCGGGCUCAACCUGGGAACUGCAUUCGAAACUGGCAGGCUAGAGUCUUGUAGAGGGGGGUAGAAUUCCAGGCGUAGCGGUGAAAUGCGUAGAGAUCUGGAGGAAUACCGGUGGCGAAGGCGGCCCCCUGGACAAAGACUGACGCUCAGGUGCGAAAGCGUGGGGAGCAAACAGGAUUAGAUACCCUUGUAGUC